ACCUACGGGAGGCAGCAGUGGGGAAUUUUGGACAAUGGGGGCAACCCUGAUCCAGCAAUGCCGCGUGAGUGAAGAAGGCCUUCGGGUUGUAAAGCUCUUUUGUCAGGGAAGAAACGGUUGUGGCUAAUAUCCAUGGCUAAUGACGGUACCUGAAGAAUAAGCACCGGCUAACUACGUGCCAGCAGCCGCGGUAAUACGAAGGGUGCAAGCGUUAAUCGGAAUUACUGGGCGUAAAGCGUGCGCAGGCGGUUUUAUAAGACAGAGGUGAAAUCCCCGGGCUCAACCUGGGAACUGCCUUUGUGACUGUAAGGCUAGAGUGUGUCAGAGGGGGGUAGAAUUCCACGUGUAGCAGUGAAAUGCGUAGAGAUGUGGAGGAAUACCGAUGGCGAAGGCAGCCCCCUGGGAUAACACUGACGCUCAUGCACGAAAGCGUGGGGAGCAAACAGGAUUAGAUACCCGGGUA
rnacentral:rRNA from 1 species